UCCACCCCAACUCCUCACUCUUAAUCUAUUCUCAUCCUAUACUAGGGAUAGGGGAAGUUCUCUGGGUUCGGGCUAUAUUCUGGGCUCGGAGCCCUCCCCCAUGACAGCACACCAAAAUAUGCUUACUAUUUGCUCAAUCAGAUUAGAUGUAAGGGUGAACUCGUGAAAAAUCCUUCAACAGUUUCUUGUGGCUUUGGCUAAUGGUUUUAGCAUUGUUUCCUAUUAGUAGACAGGAAUGCUGGAUCUUAGUGUGUCUGGAGUUGUAUAAACUUACAGAAUGUCUUUAAUGUGGUGAGCUGACCUCAGUGUCACACAGCACACAGCAUCUGCACAUGAACGGGAAACUUUUACGACUGAAUAUGUUAUCCAGCACUGCCGUCUCCUGCUAGAGGUUCCCUUGUGCUUCUCUGAUAAUAGAAAACAGCAGAUCACAGGAGAGACAUCCAAGCCUGUGACAUACAUAAUUUUUUUCGUCUUUUCUUAUGAACAAUGGUCUUGACCAUUCCUUUUAGGGCUGGUUGACUACCUUGGCUAAGCUGGUCUACUGGAGUUAGAGCAGAAUAACAGUUCAUGGGUUGCAGUAUUUGCACAGUGAACAUCUGUUUCUCAUUGACUUUGUGCUGGGUCAGAGCUUUAGGGUACUAUGAGCAGCAUGAUCCUGCAUGCAGGAUGAAUAUCUCACCCAGCCUUCUGCACGCUAGCUGCUCUAGAAAGACUGUUGAUGCAGGUGCUUGUCAAUGAGACAAGAA